rnacentral:snRNA from 1 species
AAAGAUGUCAUUGUUUAUGUAACAAGCAUCAAUAAAAAUCUGUUCUUAUCAGCUUAAUAUCUGAUAUAUAUCUAAUUGGUCCAAGAUAUUAAACCUAUUUUUGUAAGUGGUGUUCCUACGAAGCUUGCUUCGAGGACGCCAGGGUUGCUCCGGUACUGCACUACUUCCGGUAGUGGCCCGUCCCCG